rnacentral:rRNA from 1 species
UGCAGUCGACGGUACAGGUCUUCGGAUGCUGACGAGUGGCGAACGGGUGAGUAAUACAUCGGAACGUGCCCAGACGUGGGGGAUAACGAGGCGAAAGCUUUGCUAAUACCGCAUACGAUCUAAGGAUGAAAGCAGGGGACCGCAAGGCCUUGCGCGUUUGGAGCGGCCGAUGGCAGAUUAGGUAGUUGGUGGGAUAAAAGCUUACCAAGCCGACGAUCUGUAGCUGGUCUGAGAGGACGACCAGCCACACUGGGACUGAGACACGGCCCAGACUCCUACGGGAGGCAGCAGUGGGGAAUUUUGGACAAUGGGCGAAAGCCUGAUCCAGCAAUGCCGCGUGCAGGACGAAGGCCUUCGGGUUGUAAACUGCUUUUGUACGGAACGAAAAGACACUGGCUAAUACCUGGUGUUGAUGACGGUACCGUAAGAAUAAGCACCGGCUAACUACGUGCCAGCAGCCGCGGUAAUACGUAGGGUGCGAGCGUUAAUCGGAAUUACUGGGCGUAAAGCGUGCGCAGGCGGUUUUGUAAGACAGAGGUGAAAUCCCCGGGCUCAACCUGGGAACUGCCUUUGUGACUGCAAGGCUAGAGUGCGGCAGAAGGGGAUGGAAUUCCGCGUGUAGCAGUGAAAUGCGUAGAUAUGCGGAGGAACACCGAUGGCGAAGGCAAUCCCCUGGGCCUGCACUGACGCUCAUGCACGAAAGCGUGGGGAGCAAACAGGAUAGAUACCCUGGUAGUCACGCCCUAACGAUGUCACUGGUUGUUGGUCUUACUGACUCAUACG